rnacentral:rRNA from 1 species
GUGAUCUUUGCGGACCAUAUGAGUCGGGGCUUCGCACCGCCCGGCUCAAAAUUCUUCCGGGAUGUGCUCAACUUCUUUGACCUUCGACCUCAGGAUAUAGGACCCAAUUCCAUAUCCAACAUCUGCAAUUUCCAAGUCUUUUGUGAAGUAUAUCUUGGAGAAGAGCCGAGUCUGCUGCUCUUCAGAGAGCUGUUUUAUUUAAACUGCCAGAAUGAGUGUGCCAACGGGCCAAGUCUAGAGUUAGGCGGCAUCUCCAUCCAGCGACGUAGGGACUGUCUGUUCCCUUACGCAGAACCG